UACGGAGGGUGCAAGCGUUGUCCGGAUUUAUUGGGUUUAAAGGGUGCGUAGGCGGCUUUUUAAGUCAGUGGUGAAAGACAACAGCUCAACUGUUGCAGUGCCAUUGAUACUGAAGAGCUUGAGUACAGAUGAGGUAGGCGGAAUUUAUGGUGUAGCGGUGAAAUGCAUAGAUACCAUAAAGAACACCUAUUGCGAAGGCAGCUUACUAAGCUGUAACUGACGCUGAGGCACGAAAGUGUGGGGAU
rnacentral:rRNA from 1 species